rnacentral:misc_RNA from 1 species
CAACUUCCACCUGGCUUACCUCCNUCAUUUAUGCGUCAUGACUUGUAUCGUCUUGAGCGUAUUGUGGGUUUCCUGUGUUGCAUACCUUUCUAAUGGUAUCGUUUUGAUUGAUCGAAGUCCCUUUUCAUCUUGUGUUGCUUUUUGCGACGCAUGAUGAACCUCKAGGCGGUCUCUAUGUUCCACUACGUUGAUGCUACUGUUUCGAUGUUGUGGCCCAUUGAGCGUUGCUUGGUUUUGUGGAUACAGAACAUGAUUUGGGCAUAGGGUUACUUGUGACUCUUGUUCUGUCCUUUAUCAGUGUUCUUUAUAACGACGGUUCAUGCGCGCCUAGGCU